GAAGCUCUGUGAUGUACACAUAGUCAGCUAGUGAGAACUCAUACUGUGGUAUAGACCUGUGAAGAAUGGAAAAUCCUUUAGCUUAUACCUUCAUGCUUUCAAAGAUGGGAAAAGUCAAGUUGGAGAGAAAGCCAAAGAAUGUAAUCAAUGUGGGAAAGCCUUCAGGUGCAUCUAAUCUUUUAUUAUGCUUGAGGAAAUUCACACCAGAGGAGAAAUCUUUAAAAUAUUGUAAAUAUGGAAUUGCUUUAUCAGUGUCUCAUCUUUGAAGUGACUCCUAGCUCAUAAUUUCUACUUUAUAUUUUCUAAUAUAAGCCUUUAUAAUAUAAAUGUUGCUCCUGAUGUCCUUGUAGCUAUAGCAUACAACUUCUGAUAUCUUAUUUUCAUUAUGGUUCAUUAAUAUGUAUUGUAUAAUUUCCAUUGUGAAGUCUCCUUAGACUUAAAUAAAGUGUUUUUAGUA